rnacentral:piRNA from 1 species
UGAUAUGCAGGACCUGAAAGAAUAUCUCAAA